rnacentral:rRNA from 1 species
GAUGAACGCUAGCGGGAGGCCUAACACAUGCAAGCCGAGCGGUAGAGUUCCUUCGGGGUCUUGAGAGCGGCGUACGGGUGCGUAACACGUGUGCAACCUACCUUUAUCUGGGGGAUAGCCUUUCGAAAGGAAGAUUAAUACCCCAUAAUAUAAUGAUUGGCAUCAAUUAUUAUUGAAAACUCCGGUGGAUAGAGAUGGGCACGCGCAAGAUUAGAUAGUUGGUGAGGUAACGGCUCACCAAGUCAAUGAUCUUUAGGGGUCCUGAGAGGGAGAUCCCCCACACUGGGACGGAGACACGGACCAGACUCCUACGGCAGGCAGCAGUGAGGAAUAUUGGACAAUGGGUGAAAGCCUGAUCCAGCCAUCCCGCGUGAAGGAGGACGGUCCUAUGGAUUGUAAACUUCUUUUGUACAGGGAUAAACCUACUCUCGUGAGGGUAGCUGAAGGUACUGGACGAAUAAGCACCGGCUAACUCCGUG